rnacentral:sRNA from 1 species
AUAAAGGAACAAAGUCUUCUAUUUAUUCAUAGAACAGACGCUGCAUGGAGAGCUGCACUGCAAAUUCCUCCACACUGCCAUGCCAAUGUGCCUAACCUGGAGGGGCCACCUUCAGGAAUAUAAAGGCAGUGUAGUCUCCAGUCAGGUGUUGGACUCC